GUAUUCUUAAAGUAAUUGAUACUAUAAUUUAUUGUAAAAAUGUAUAUAUGAGCGGGGAUAGGACCUUUAUCGGGACUUUGGGAUCGGGUGUUUUUAAGCUCGGGAUUUCGGGAUUGACCCUUUCGUGAUCCGGGAAUUCAUUUUUCGAAUUUUGGGACCUCUGGAAUUCAUGUUUUUUAAGCCCGGGAUUUCGGUAUUUCGUGUUUUUAAGCUCAGGAUUUCGGGAUCAGGACCCCUCCUACCCUCCCUCAUAUAUGUUAUAAUUGACUGAACUUAGAUAUUUAUGGUGAUAAUGACUUCACAUUUCAUUUUAAAUAUAUUAUUUAUACUUAAGGCACAUGUUGAAGUGAAGAUACCUUUGUAAGGGGAGAUAUUUUUUGUUAAUUGAGGUUGAUAAACUUUUGUAAGGGGAGAUCAUUUUUCAAAUCAUAAAUGACGGGGAUAGACUUUGGUAAGAGCCUAAGGGGAGAUAUUUUUGUUAAUUAAGGUUGAUAAACUUUGGUAAGGGGAGAUAAUUUUUCAAAUAAUAAAUGACUGGGAUAGACUUUAGUAAGAGCCUAAGGGAGAUUUUUAUUUUGUUAAUUAAGGUUGAUAGACUUUGGUAAGGGGAGAUAAUUUUUCAAAUAAUAAAUGACGGGGAUAGACUUUUGGUAAGAGCCUAAGGGG
rnacentral:lncRNA from 1 species